rnacentral:rRNA from 1 species
AGUGAACGCUGGCGGUAGGCCUAACACAUGCAAGUCGAACGGCAGCACAGUAAGAGCUUGCUCUUACGGGUGGCGAGUGGCGGACGGGUGAGGAAUACAUCGGAAUCUACUUUUUCGUGGGGGAUAACGUAGGGAAACUUACGCUAAUACCGCAUACGACCUACGGGUGAAAGCAGGGGAUCUUCGGACCUUGCGCGAUUGAAUGAGCCGAUGUCGGAUUAGCUAGUUGGCGGGGUAAAGGCCCACCAAGGCGACGAUCCGUAGCUGGUCUGAGAGGAUGACCAGCCACACUGGAACUGAGACACGGUCCAGACUCCUACGGGAGGCAGCAGUGGGGAAUAUUGGACAAUGGGCGCAAGCCUGAUCCAGCCAUACCGCGUGGGUGAAGAAGGCCUUCGGGUUGUAAAGCCCUUUUGUUGGGAAAGAAGAGAAGAAGGUUAAUACCCCGAUGUUUUGACGGUACCCAAAGAAUAAGCACCGGCUAACUUCGUG